CAUGCAAGUAGACGCACAGGAUACACCGUAGUUUACUACACCGUAUUCUGUGAGUUGCGAACGGGUGAGUAACGCGUAGGUAACCUGCCUGGUAGCGGGGGAUAACUAUUGGAAACGAUAGCUAAUACCGCAUAAGAACAUUUACUGCAUGGUAGAUGUUUAAAAGGUGCAAAUGCAUCACUACCAGAUGGACCUGCGUUGUAUUAGCUAGUAGGUGAGGUAACGGCUCACCUAGGCGACGAUACAUAGCCGACCUGAGAGGGUGAUCGGCCACACUGGGACUGAGACACGGCCCAGACUCCUACGGGAGGCAGCAGUAGGGAAUCUUCGGCAAUGGGGGGAACCCUGACCGAGCAACGCCGCGUGAGUGAAGAAGGUUUUCGGAUCGUAAAGCUCUGUUGUUAAGGAAGAACGAGUGUGAGAAUGGAAAGUUCAUACUGUGACGGUACUUAACCAGAAAGGGACGG
rnacentral:rRNA from 1 species